rnacentral:rRNA from 1 species
GAUGAACGCUAGCGGGAGGCUUAACACAUGCAAGUCGUGGGGCAGCACGGGGUAGCAAUACUCUGGUGGCGACCGGCGCACGGGUGAGUAACGCGUAUGCAACCUACCCAGUACAGGGGAAUAGCCCGGAGAAAUUCGGAUUAAUACCCCAUAAUGAUAUAGAGAGGCAUCUUUUUAUAUUUAAAGCUUCGGCGGUACUGGAUGGGCAUGCGUAAGAUUAGCUAGUUGGUAGGGUAACGGCCUACCAAGGCUCCGAUCUUUAGGGGUCCUGAGAGGGUGAUCCCCCACACUGGUACUGAGACACGGACCAGACUCCUACGGGAGGCAGCAGUGAGGAAUAUUGGUCAAUGGGCGCAAGCCUGAACCAGCCAUCCUGCGUGAAGGAAGAAGGCGCUAUGCGUUGUAAACUUCUUUUCCGGAGGAAUAAAAUCUUGUACGUGUACAGGACUGAAGGUACUCCGGGAAUAAGCAUCGGCUAACUCCGUGCCAGCCGCCGCAGUAAAAC